rnacentral:rRNA from 1 species
UUUGGUGAUGAUGGCGAGAAGGAUACACCUGUUCCCAUCCCGAACACAGAAGUUAAGCUUCUUUGCGCCGAUGGUACUUGGGGGGCAGCCCCCUGGGAGAGUAGGUCGUCGCCAAUU